GACGAACGCUGGCGGCACGCCUAACACAUGCAAGUCGAACGGAAUUACAAGAGCUUGCUUUUUUAAGUUAGUGGCGGACGGGUGAGUAACACGUGAGCAACCUGCCCUUGAGUUGGGGAUAGCUUCAGGAAACGGAUGGUAAUACCCCAUAGAAUCUAAUUCUCGCUUGAUAGAGUUAGAAAGGCACUUCGUUCAGGGAUGGGCUCGCGUCUGAUUAGAUGGUUGGUGAGGUAAUGGCUUACCAAGGCUUUGAACGGUAGCCGGCCUGAGAGGUUGAACGGCCACAUUUGGACUGAGACACAGCCCAGACUCCUACGCGAGGGAGCAGUGUAGAAUAUAGCACAAGGGAGGGUACUCUGAUGCAGCUGUGCCGCGGGGAAGGAGAAGGUGGUCGGAAUCCAAACUCGUUUUUUAAGAAGCGAUAAUGACGGUACCUGAAGAAAAAGCACCGGCUAACUACGUG
rnacentral:rRNA from 1 species